GGUCGGAGAAAUUUGGACUGCCACCGGAAAUUGAGGGUAUAUUGGAUAGGGACAGAAAUUUUGCCUUGCAACAGGCCACCUACGGACCCUCAAAGAGUUGUUGCAAGGGUUCUUAACGUGCAAAUAGCGUGGCACUCUCUUUACACGAGCCAUCGGAUUUAACGUCCCCCUUCUGACCGGACGCGACUGCGAACUUGAUACAUCCCGCACAGCCAAACGGACGCCCCACUUCGGCAAGCGUUUUACUGCCGGUCGGGAGAAGACCAAGUGACCAUAUUUCUAUACCCCAGUCACCCUUGG
rnacentral:lncRNA from 1 species